rnacentral:rRNA from 1 species
CACGUAGGGCGCAAGCGUUGUCCGGAAUUAUUGGGCGUAAAGAGCUCGUAGGUGGUUUGCUGCGUCCGCUGUGAAAACCCAAGGCUUAACCUUGGGCUUGCAGUGGAUACGGGCAGACUAGAGGUAGGGAGGGGAGAAUGGAAUUCCCGGUGUAGCGGUGAAAUGCGCAGAUAUCGGGAGGAACACCGGUGGCGAAGGCGGUUCUCUGGGCCUUACCUGACACUGAGGAGCGAAAGCGUGGGGAGCGAAACAGGAUUAGGAAACCCUUGAUAGU